UACGUAGGGGGCAAGCGUUGUCCGGAAUCAUUGGGCGUAAAGCGCGUGUAGGCGGCUCGGUAAGUCCGCUCUGAAAGUCCAGGGCUCAACCCUGGGAUGCGGGUGGAUACUGCCGGGCUCGAGUCCGGAAGAGGCGAGUGGAAUUCCCCGGUGUAGCGGUGAAAUGCGCAGAUAUCGGGAGGAACACCAAUGGCGAAGGCAGCUCGCUGGG
rnacentral:rRNA from 1 species